GAUGAACGCUGGCGGCGUGCCUAAUACAUGCAAGUCGAGCGAAUGGAUUAAGAGCUUGCUCUUAUGAAGUUAGCGGCGGACGGGUGAGUAACACGUGGGUAACCUGCCCAUAAGACUGGGAUAACCCCGGGAAACCGGGGCUAAUACCGGAUAACAUUUUGAACCGCAUGGUUCGAAAUUGAAAGGCGGCUUCGGCUGUCACUUAUGGAUGGACACGCGUCGCAUUAGCUAGUUGGUGAGGUAACGGCUCACCAAGGCAACGAUGCGUAGCCGACCUGAGAGGGUGAUCGGCCACACUGGGACUGAGACACGGCCCAGACUCCUACGGGAGGCAGCAGUAGGGAAUCUUCCGCAAUGGACGAAAGCCUGACGGAGCAACGCCGCGUGAGUGAUGAAGGCUUUCGGGUCGUAAAACUCUGUUGUUAGGGAAGAACAAGUGCUAGUUGAAUAAGCUGGCACCUUGACGGUACCUAACCAGAAAGCCACGGCUAACUACGUGCCAGCAGCCGCCGUAA
rnacentral:rRNA from 1 species